rnacentral:lncRNA from 1 species
GGUGUUGUCGUUGGCUGGAUCUUCGGGCUUGCAGCAUGUCUGGAGUCGCCGACGCAAAUCUGGUAGGUGUCCUCCGCUGUCUCCUUCUCCUAGCAUCCUUGGCUCUCCCCCGCUCUCCGUUGGGUUUUCAAAUGCUGACCUGGGCUCUCUGCCUGGAUGUGCUGCUCCGUCGUCGCCCUGGUCGGAGCCGCGGCCGGCGGCGGGCGCCGCAUCAGCGGGCGGGUGGCUGGAUGGGGGUCAUGCCCUAGGUUUGGCUCGGCUGCUGGAUUCCUCGGGGCCGCAGGGCUUGGUGGGCCUGUCGGUGUCUGGGUUGAAUCGGGCUGGGCCUGGUGGGCCGCCUGCGCUCUCUUCUGUUGUCGCUUUUCCCCCUCUUAUCUCUGUGGCCCCGGGGCAGAUGGUUGUGGCCUCUGCUUCGCCCUCGCUCCUUCCCUUGGCCCAGGCUCCUGUUUCGGCCCAGUUGGGCCUGGCCAGUUCGGGCUAUAUAUGGGUGCGGCAUGGCUCUCUUCCCCCCCUUCUAGGGUUUCCUACUUCCGCCCCUGAUAUCCGCAAAGCUCAUCGCCCCAUCCACCGCUUCCUCAGAUCCAUUUCUUCCUCUUCCCCCCUCCUCCUUUCCUUUGCGGAGGCCCUGGCCAUGGAUAAAUCCAGGGGCUCUUCCAGUGAGGCCCUCCCGGGCAGUAAGCGUUGGUGUGAGGACUCGCCAGGAUCCGGGGUGGAUUUGGCCUAUGAGGCUGAGCUGCGGUCCAAGUUGGAGGCUGGCCGCAUCUCUCGUGAGGUGGUGCGCGAUUGUGAGGCGUGGGCUGGAGUGGAUCUGGUGCCGUAGGCUGCGAGAUCAGAGGCGGCCUUGCCCAGAUCUGGGGGCGGAUCUGCAGUGGCCCCGGAUCCAUGGGAGGCUGCUGCUGCCUCCAAUGGUGGUGGUUCGUCCUCGUCGGUUCCGCGUUCGGCUCCGGUCCGUGGCCCGGUGGCUCCACCGCGGCAGCCUCCGCGGGCCUUUGCGGCUGGUGCCGGAUCCCGUCCUCCCUCUUGCUUUGGAUCUGGUCCUUCUUCUGUGCAAGGUCGGGAUCGUCGUGGUCCUCCUUCUGGUCUGGGCUCUUCGUCUGCUAACAUUGGUGAUGGCCUCCUUCCUCCUCCCCCGCCUCCCCUUCCCCGCCAACACACAACUGCUCUUAAUCCCUCCCCUUCCCUUACCCGGUUCGCGUGCCAUCGUCCGGGCCAUUUCCAAUCCAGAUGCACCAAUCCCCCCUUCUGUUUGAUUUGUCGAUAUGAUGGACAUUUGACCGUCGAUUGUCGUAAUCCUACCAAACCUCCCUCCUUUGUUCACUUUGGGACCGGUCUCCCCGGGUGCUCUUUCUUCGCCCUGGAUUGCGAUGCGCCGAUGGUGGUGGCUACCCCGUCGCUGUCCAACGCAGCCAUCAUCUCUGUCCAUGGUCAAAAGAUUUCCCCGCAGACCUUGCUGGAUGGGCUGCAGAUUUGGGAUGAGGGCGGUUGGGAUUGGCAGUUGCGUCAGCUUUCUGAGUCCGAGUUUGCUGUGGUGUUCCCUUCGAAAGAUUGUCUCCGGAUGAUUGCCUCCUGCACGAGCUUUACUCUUCCACUCAAUCAGUUGGUUGUUUCUGUCAAGGCGGCCACAUGUGGGGUGAAGACUGUUGGCCCUCUGGCCAAGACAUGGGUGUUAGUGGAUGAUGUGCCAGUGGGUUUACGAUCGGUUGAAUUCAUGAUGGCGUUCGGGACUCUCAUUGGCAAACCUGUGGAGGUGGACUGUGACUCCUUGGGGAAGGUUGGCCCAGUGCGGCUGAAUAUCUGGUGUGUUGACCCUGUUUGUGUGUGCGGAUCUGUUGAUGUGUUCUUGUCUGCUGAGGGUGUUCGUCUGCGGGUUCGGGUGGAAGGUGCUGAUGCUUUCCAGGUCCCACCUCUUCCGCCGGCGUCCAAGUCUGCUGAUCCUGAGGAUGAUAAGCAGGGGGAUAAAUCUGCUGGUGGGCAAGACCCGAGUGGUGGUUCUGACCCUCGAUUCACCCAGUCUGAGUGGGACGGGAUGGAGCCUGCGAUGCAAGACCUGUUCAAGGAAAAUGCCCCUAUUGGUAAAGCCCAGGAAGACGCGGGGUCCAAGCAGGGGGUGCAUGAGGCCACCCUCAGGACCCGUGCAAGUAAGGGUACUCCUAUCUCCGCCGUCUGCUCCAACCUCCCUGCUCGCCCUCAGUCUCCCUCAUUCUCUUGGAUCGAAGACCUCCCUGCGUCACCUCCUCCUUCUGAUGGGCUGGCAUCUAAGAGGAAGAAGAAAGUGUCAGUGAAAAAGUUCUCAGCUAAGAGUAGGGCCUCCUCCGGUUCCAAGCAAUCCAUGACGGGCUUGGCUCGCCGUCUGGAUAAGGAUUUGGGGGCGGCUUCGGGGUCUGGUCAGGAUUUGGCGUCGCAUGUUGCUCGCUCUCCGAUGGUGCGGUCUCCUGCGUCCAUCGUGCGCAAGGGUCGGCGUGUUCAUGAUUCUGGUGUGUUGGUGGCGCUACGGGCGGAGAAACGUGCUGCAUCUAGAGACCUCCCUGCUUCAGGUAUGCCUGCUCAGCCCCCCAUCUCCGAUUCGCUUAGUUUUGCCUGCUCUUUCGGAUGAUCAUUUGUUACACAUUUUGUCGGAUGUUGGUGUUGCCGUUGAUCCGGGGUUGGGUUCUCCAUCUUGUUUUCUUUCUGUGAUUAGGGCGAAUGAGGUUGCCCAAGCGGCUAUUGCUAAAGCCAAGGAGGCUGCAGCCUCUGUUGGCAUUGUUGCUACCCAGGGGCCGGUGGGGGAUCAUGGGGAGGCUGAUGGUUGUGGCCAGUCGCCUCCUCCCCCCACCCAAGCGAAGAGGGGUCCGGCCAAGCAUUCGAAAUCCUGUUUGGCCCCUUGCAGGUCUAGCCUUCGCAUUAAAAAUCUCUCUUAUAAAUGAAGGCCCUGUUAUGGAACGUUAGAGGUUUCGCCGCUAGGGGGCGGCGAGACCAGAUUCAUGAUUUCAUCUGUGGGGAAAAAUUGACUUUGUAGGUUUUGUGGAAACUUUUAAAGAAUCCUUCUCUCCUUCUGAAUUAUCUGCGGUUGCAGGCAUGGAUAGGUUCGACUGGCAUUUCCUUCCUGCCUCGGGGCAUUCUAGGGGCAUUCUGAUCGGGUCUAAAUGGGACGUGUUCGAUUUUAUUACUUUUGAUCAUGGUAUUUUUUGGGCAAGCGUGGUGGUGCAUCACUGUCAGUUAAAUGCGUUAUGGGAAUGCUUAGUGGUUUAUGGCCCUGCUGAUCAUUCUCUCUCCUCUAUAUUCCUUGACAAACUUUAUCAUAAGAUCGAGUCUUGCAAUUUGCCGUUAUUAUUGGCGGUGAUUUUAAUCUCUUGCACUCUCCGGCUGACGAAAAUAAUCUCAAUUUCUCCUGGCCCCUUGGCGACGCCUUUAAUGACUUCAUCAGCAAUUGUGCGAUCCGUGAACUUCCUAGGGUGGGAGACCGAUUCACUUGGUCCAACCAUCAGUCCAAUCCUGUCCGGUUGGUGCUGGAUAGGGUUUUUGUGUGUGAUAGAUGGGACUCCGUUUUCCCCCGUGCCUCAUUGAAAGCUAGACCUGCGGUGGGGUCUGAUCAUGUUCCUCUGGUGGUGGAUGCGGGCCUUAAUUCUCCACUGACUUCCUCUCAUUCUCAAUUUGAUGCCUCGUGGCUCUUGGUCGAAGGAUUUAAUGAUUUAUUGGCCUCUAAGAUCGCUGCUUUUUGUAAUACUACCCGUCGAUCCUUCGGACCCAUGGAUGACUGGCACAAAUGUGCUUAUGAGUUGCGCAAGUUCCUAAGAGGCUGGUCUUGUAAUAGGGCUGCAGAUCUGCACAAAGAGAAAGAUGACAUUGAAUCUCAACUCCGGGCCUUGGACUCUUCUGCGGAUCAAUUUGGGCUUUCUGCUUCUCAAUGGUCUGUUCGCUAAUCUAUGGAGGAGGCCUUGAUGCAGUUGCAUCAGCAGGCUGAAAUUUACUAGCACCAACGUGGCUCCCUUAACUGGACUUUGAAAGGAGGUAUGAUGACGGCCUAUUUUUUUGUGAUUGCUAAUGGUAGAAGGAGGAUAAGCUUCAUUGAUAGCCUUAUCAUCGACGGAGUCAGGACUUCGGACCAAUCCCUUAUUAUGAACCAUAUUGUAGGGUUCUUCUCUUCUCUUCUUGCGGCCAAACCUGACUCUGGUCUGUCCUUUGCUGCUGACUUUUGGGACAAUGACAACAAAAUCUCUGAUGCCGAAAACAUGGGCCUCAUGAUCCCCAUUUCUGAUGAGGAAAUUUAUACAGUGGUUAGUUCGGCCAACAUGCCGGAUGCGUCAGGGCCUGAUGGUUUUUCUUUUCCUUUUUUCACAAAAUUCUGGCCAGAGCUACGGGGGCUCAUUUAUAAGAUUAUCCAAGGGUUCUGUUUGCGGACGGUGGACAUAUCCAGACUUAACUAUGUUGUCAUAACUAUCAUUCCUAAAGUUAAAGGUGCGGAUCUAAUCUCAUAGUUUCAGCCUAUUGCUCUUAUUAAUAACUUCGCUAAACUUCCUGCUAAAGGGUUCACCCUCGUCUUUCCCCCAUUGCUCAUCGCACCAUUAGUCCUUUCCAAUCUACCUUUAUCAAAGGUCGAUUCAUUCUGGAUGGGAUCCUUUGCCUUCAUGAAAUUGUGCAUGAUCUCAAAAUUCGUAAAUCUAAAGUCGUGAUCUUAAAACUUGAUUUUGAGAAGGCUUAUGAUUUGGUAAGCUGGCCUUUUCUGAGAAAGGUCCUCUUGGCUAAAGGUUUUGAAGGCUCGUUUGUCCAUAGAAUCAUGCAGAUGGUCUCGAGGGGCCAUACUACAAUCUCUGUCAAUGGCCAAAUCAGUAAGUUUUUUGUCAAUGGUAGGGGCCUUAGACAAGGUGAUCCUGCCUCUCCCAUCCUGUUUAACUUCAUUACAAACGCCCUAUCGCGUAUUCUGUCCAAAGUUGCCAACCAUGGGCAUAUCUCCCCGGUUAUUUCUCAUCUUAUUCCUGAAGGGGUGACUCAUCUAUAGUAUGCGAACGACACUAUAAUAAUGGUCGAGUUAGAUGAUUCUUGUCUUGCUAACCUUAAAUUCAACCUCCUUUGCUUCGAAGCCAUGUUGGGCCUUAAAAUUAAUUUUGCUAAAAGUGAGGUUAUUGUCACUGGGGUGGAUGAAAGUGAGGCCUUAAGGGUGGCCCAUCUCCUUAACUGUGAGUUAGGAUCCUUUCCUUUCAAAUAUUUGGGCCUCCCUAUUUCCUCGGAUGUCCUUCAUGCGAGAGAUUUGCCCCGGUGGUAACCAAGGUGGGCAACAGAGUUUUGCCCUGGCGUGGCAGAUAUAAUACCAAUGCGGGCAAAGUGGCUUUGAUCAUUGUUUGUCUGUCUUCCCUUCCUAUGUUCCUGAUGGGCUUUUACUUACUUUCGGGAGGGAUUCACGCUGGCUUUGACAAGCACCGUGGGGCUUUCUAUUGGAAUGCCGCUGAUAACCGCCGUAAGUAUCGCUUUGUGAAGUGGAAGUUGAUGUGUCGACCCAAAAACCUUGGAGGGUUGGGUAUUAUCAACACCACCAUCAUGAACCAAUGUCUUAUGGUCAAAUGGUGGUGGAGGAUUAUGUGUGGUGGGUACCAGUCCUUAUGGUUCUACAUUCUGAAAGCUAAGUACUUUCCCCUGUCUAGCCCGAUGUUCGCCGGCGGGCGUGGCGGCUCUCAAUUUUGGAAGGCCCCUUGGUGAAAGUUAGGCCAUUUUUCCAGGCUCACGUGAAGUUUGUUGUGGGUGAUGGCUCAUCCAUUAGGUUUUGGCUUGACUGGUGGUGUGGAGAUUCACCUCUCUCCGUGACCUUCCCCACCUUAUUCUCUUAUUGCCCUGAUUCGGAUAUCUCUACCAUGGAGCUGGCUGCUAAUGGUUGGGACUUGGACUUUCGUCGUUCCCUGUCGCCUGAAGAGUUCGAAGAUUGGCAACGUCUUACUGCCGUCUUCCCCUCGCUCUCGACGAACAUGGAUUUGGUGAUCUGGCCUCACUCUUCACCUGGUCGCUUUUCUGUUAAAUCUCUCUACUCUAAGCUCAUUGGUGGCACCCCUACUAAUAAAUUCACCCAGGUCUAGAAGGCUAGGAUUCCUCCCAAAAUUAAGAUUUUUCUUUGGCAAGCUUUUAGGGGCAGGCUGGCUUCGACUGACCAAAUUCGUAAGAGGAAUAGUCAGGGGUCUCAAUUUUGCAUCUUAUGUGGUGCCUUGGAGGAUACGAACCAUAUCUUCUUCUAGUGUGUCCUGGAUAAGCUUAUUUGGAGUUGCGUCAGAGAGUGGUUUCACGUUGCCUGGGAUCCUGCCUCUUUCUCUGACAUUCAGGCUCUUGCUAAGACCCUGUCGGGCCUCAAUAGAUGCAUCUUUUGGGUGGGCUUAGGAGUUAUCAGCUGGUCUCUUUGGCCGAUUAGGAACAAGUUUACUAUUGAACAUGUCUUUCCGGCUAAACCUAUUGACUGCUUGUUUAAAUCAUGUGCCUUCUUGCAGCAGUGGAAAUCAUUGACUAAGGUGGAUGACCAGGAGGCGUUGUCUGUGUUGAUAUCCAAAUUUCGGGCCUCGACGUCUAAUCUUUGCAGACAAGAGCAGGAUGCUUAGCUGCUUUUUGUUCCACUGGCUAGUAUUUUCUGGGAGUUCCUUCCGGCCUGUGUGACGCAUAUUGGCUAGGGAGCCAUGUACCCCCGUUAAACUCUCUGUCUCUGACCCUGGUUAGGGUCUUGCUGGUUGCUUGUUAUGAACUUAUGUAUGUUCGCUACCUUCCUUAUGGCUUUAUUUAUAAAGUCGGGCGCAUGCCUUUUCUCUAAAAACAUCAAAG